rnacentral:rRNA from 1 species
UGGAAGACUGAUAGACUGAGUGGCGGACGGGUGAGUAACGCGUGGGCAACCUGCCCCAUACCGGGGGAUAGCAGUUGGAAACGACUGGUAAAACCGCAUAAGCGCACGGUAAGGUAUCUUACAGUGUGAAAAACUCCGGUGGUAUGGGAUGGGCCCGCGUCUGAUUAGCCAGUUGGUGAGGUAACGGCUCACCAAAGCGACGAUCAGUAGCCGGCCUGAGAGGGCGGACGGCCACAUUGGGACUGAGACACGGCCCAGACUCCUACGGGAGGCAGCAG